rnacentral:sRNA from 1 species
GCUGGGUGUGGUGGUGCACACCUGUAAUCCCAGCAGCUAGGGAGGCUAGGGCAGGAGGAUCACAAGUUUGAGGCCAGCCUCGGCAACUUAGCAAGGCCUUAAGCAACUUAGUGAGAUCCUAUCUC